CCCAUUUUGAGACGGUGAGGCUUGCACUUCACAGUUCUGCCCAUCCCGCCCCGCCAGCAUCAGAUCCCUUUUCUUUUGUUCAGUGGUCAUCAGCAACAAAAGUCCUGAAUAGAGAUCAGCCUCCAAUUAGAAUGAAACAGGGCUUUGUGAAGCCAUGAAUACAGGAUGCAGUGAGCUGUGAAGCGGCAUAGUCAACUGUCAUUAAAGGAAAAUCAGAUUGAGGGCUGUACGGCAAACCCAGCCAAAGCUACAGGGGAAACAUUCUACUAAAGACCUUCUUUCAGUUGUGGAAUCUCCAAGAUGAUUUACAGAGAUCAAGCAAUGGUACUAAGCCUUCGGGUAACAGAAGUGGAGGAAACAGGAAGAAAGCUGGAGCUGUACCUAAUCUGCUUUAUAAGCCUCAGGAGCUAAUAAGGAGUACACGGGACAAUGAUUUGAUUGGUUACCACUUUCCUAGCCAUUCCAAGGACUUUCUAGCUAGUACGGCCCCAGGAGAGUGCGGGAGCAAUUCAAGUUUCAGAUAAUCAACUUCCUCAAGCCAAAGGGGAGCACUGGCAAGACAUGAGCCCUGGCUACAAAAGCUUGUUGAUCUUCCCAACCUUUCAGGCAAUAAGAUAAACUUCCCAACAGCCCAAGCAGUGAUCCCAAUCUCUCCCCUUUUUCCUUUUUUUUUUUUUUUUUGGAGUGACCAUAACCUCAAGAUUCCAUUGUCUGCAUAAUAAAAC
rnacentral:lncRNA from 1 species